rnacentral:snoRNA from 1 species
UUGCUGGUAAAAAAAGUGAAAGUAGCUGACACAAGUAAAAAGUGGCAAAAGUAAUGCCAUAUUUCAAGCCUUAAAAAUAUUGAAACCAUUAAGGUCCCUGAAAAUGCCUACAGCA